CUUCAGAGGCAUAUGUUCCUGAAUUUAAGCAAGGCAAGAAAGCUGUGUCAGUGCCAUUUCCUGGUCUAUCAGAAUAUUUGAGACCUGAAACUCCAGAAGAGGUCCAGGUGGAACCUCUUCUUUCCAGAUCAAAUUUGCUUAUUACUAGGGAUAUAGAGUGGGCAAAUCUUGUCCUUGGUUUUGAGCAGGAAAAUCGGUAUGCCAUUGUGGAUGUGUGCUAACA